UACGAGGGGGGCAAAUGUUGUUCGGAAUCACUGGGCGUAAAGGGAGCGUAGGCGGGUUUUUAAGUCAGGUGUUUAAUCCCGGGGCCCAACCCCGGACAGGCACUUGAAACUGGGAAUCUUGAAUAGUGGAGAGGUCAGUGGAAUUGGGGGUGUAGCGGUGGAAUGCGUAGAGAUCCCCAAGAACACCCGUUGCGAAGGCGGCUGACUGGACACAUAUUGACGCUGAGGUGCGAAAGCGUGGGAGCAAACAGG
rnacentral:rRNA from 1 species